AUUCGUAUGGUUCAGAAAUUUGCUACCCAGCUGAUGUCCAGGGAAUUUCAUACCUAACAGCCAGUACAACACUUGUCAAAUAAAGUUUCAGUUGCCAUUAGUCAUCCAGUGCAAAUUUCACGGAGAUGCAGUUCAUUCUCUGGUUUGGAUGACAUAUAUUUGCCUUCCCCACUAACCGUUUCAAGCAGGUGAACUACACAAGUUGCAUUGGUAUGAGUAUUUUUUUAGUUACAUACUCCAUUACUGAAUUCUGGUUGCAAAUUGAGAUGCCGAGUCCAGUGAGUGAGUCAUAUCUUUUUCUGAUGGAAGUGUUGAAAGAGCAGCAAUCACAUAAUGGAUUAAUAUUUUUCUUUAAAGUUGAACCUCAGUCUCAGUCUCUAGAUUGGCAGAAUAUAAUCAGCUCAUCUCCCCCAUACAUGACAUGAUUAAAUUCACGGUAAUCUUCAGUCUCUGUGUGCACGGAUUAGCUUUGAUCUUUCCCACUUUACUCAAAGGUUGGUUGUUCAUCAAACCAAGACUGAAGGUGGCAUAGACCUUAGCUGAGACCACUGAAAUUGAGGUACUGAUGGUUUGGCGGCUUUGGCCACUCAGCUUGUCAAGUCAUUUUUCCUUUGGAAUGUAUGAAUGCAGGCCUUUGGCUUGAGGAAAUGGGUAAAACUUUAGACUAACCAAAUAUUAUGAUUUCACCAAAAAUCAAAUAUUAAAAAUAUUGGAAAUGAAGAAGUCCCGGCGUUCCUUAGUUUA